rnacentral:snRNA from 1 species
AUGCUCACUUCGGCAGCACGUCUACUGAAAUCGGGAUGACACAGGGAAGGUUAGCAUGGCCCUUGCGCAAAGAUGACCCGCAAAUUCGUGACGUGUUCUGUAUUUUU